rnacentral:piRNA from 1 species
UUAAAUACCGAAAAAAUCAAA